rnacentral:sRNA from 1 species
AAGGAAAUUUGGUGGAUUUCAAGGAAUCAAGCAAUCAAAGGUCCGAGGUAGCCUGUGGAUAGCAGAUAUCGUCAAGGAUUAUAGUUGGCUUUACUACUCCAAAAACUAUAGGUUUACUGCCUUUGUGCACUUUUGUUCCUUGUAGGCCCACGAGUCACUGUAAAGUAAAUUUCAUAUCCCAGUUACCUA